GAACCUGCGGAGGGAUCAUUACCGAGUUAUACAACUCAUCAACCCUGUGAACAUACCUAUAACGUUGCCUCGGCGGGAACAGACGGCCCCGUAACACGGGCCGCCCCCGCCAGAGGACCCCCUAACUCUGUUUCUAUAAUGUUUCUUCUGAGUAAACAAGCAAAUAAAUUAAAACUUUCAACAACGGAUCUCUUGGCUCUGGCAUCGAUGAAGAACGCAGCGAAAUGCGAUAAGUAAUGUGAAUUGCAGAAUUCAGUGAAUCAUCGAAUCUUUGAACGCACAUUGCGCCCGCCAGUAUUCUGGCGGGCAUGCCUGUUCGAGCGUCAUUACAACCCUCAGGCCCCCGGGCCUGGCGUUGGGGAUCGGCGGAAGCCCCCUGCGGGCACAACGCCGUCCCCCAAAUACAGUGGCGGUCCCGCCGCAGCUUCCAUUGCGUAGUAGCUAACACCUCGCAACUGGAGAGCGGCGCGGCCACGCCGUAAAACACCCAACUUCUGAAUGUUGACCUCGAAUCAGGUAGGAAUACCCGCUGAACUUAAGCAUAUCA
rnacentral:misc_RNA from 1 species